UACGUAGGGUGCAAGCGUUGUCCGGAAUUAUUGGGCGUAAAGGGCUCGUAGGCGGCCAACUAAGUCGGAUGUGAAAUCCCCAGGCUUAACCUGGGAACUGCAUCCGAUACUGGAUGGCUUGAAUCCGGGAGAGGGAUGCAGAAUUCCAGGUGUAGCGGUGAAAUGCGUAGAUAUCUGGAGGAAUACCGGUGGCGAAGGCGGCAUCCUGGACCGGCAUUGACGCUGAGUGAGCGAAAGCCAGGGGAGCAAACGGG
rnacentral:rRNA from 1 species